AUUGAACGCUGGCGGCAGGCUUAACACAUGCAAGUCGAGCGGGGAAAGGUAGCUUGCUACCUGACCUAGCGGCGGACGGGUGAGUAAUGCUUAGGAAUCUGCCUAUUAGUGGGGGACAACAUUCCGAAAGGAAUGCUAAUACCGCAUACGCCCUACGGGGGAAAGCAGGGGAUCUUCUGACCUUGCGCUAAUAGAUGAGCCUAAGUCAGAUUAGCUAGUUGGUGGGGUCAAGGCCUACCAAGGCGACGAUCUGUACCGGGUCUGAGAGGAUGAUCGGCCACACUGGGACUGAGACACGGCCCAGACUCCUACGGGAGGCAGCAGUGGGGAAUAUUGGACAAUGGGCGAAAGCCUGAUCCAGCCAUGCCGCGUGUGUGAAGAAGGCCUUUUGGUUGUAAAGCACUUUAAGCGAGGAGGAGGCUACCGAGAGUAAUACUCUUGGAUAGUGGACGUUACUCGCAGAAUAAGCACCGGCUAACUCUGUGCCAGCAGCCGCAGUAA
rnacentral:rRNA from 1 species